GUGGGGAAUAUUGGACAAUGGGCGAAAGCCUGAUCCAGCCAUGCCGCGUGUGUGAAGAAGGUCUUCGGAUUGUAAAGCACUUUAAGUUGGGAGGAAGGGCAGUAAGUUAAUACCUUGCUGUUUUGACGUUACCGACAGAAUAAGCACCGGCUAACUUCGUGCCAGCAGCCGCGGUAAUACGAAGGGUGCAAGCGUUAAUCGGAAUUACUGGGCGUAAAACGCGCGUAGGUGGUUUUGUAAGUUGGAGGUGAAAUCCCCGGGCUCAACCUGGGAACUGCCUCCAAAACUGCAUGACUAGAGUACGGUAGAGGGUAGUGGAAUUUCCUGUGUAGCGGUGAAAUGCGUAGAUAUAGGAAGGAACACCAGUGGCGAAGGCGACUACCUGGACUGAUACUGACACUGAGGUGCGAAAGCGUGGGGAGCAAACAGGAUUAGAUACCCCUGUAGUCC
rnacentral:rRNA from 1 species